rnacentral:rRNA from 1 species
CCUACGGGUGGCAGCAGUGGGGAAUAUUGCACAAUGGGGGAAACCCUGAUGCAGCGACGCCGCGUGAGUGAAGAAGUCUUUCGGGAUGUGAAGCUCUAUCAGCAGGGAAGAAAAUGUCGGUAUCUGAUUCCUAAGCCCCGGCUAACUACGUCCCAGCAGCCGCGGUAAUACGUAGGGGGCAAACGUUAUCCGGAAUUACUGGGUGAAAAGGGAGCGUAGACGGUAGAACAAGUCAGGAGUGAAAUGCCGGGGCUUAACCCCGGAACUGCUUUUGAAACUGGGCAGCUAGAGUGCAGGAGAGGGAAGUAGAAUUCCUAGUGUAGCGGUGAAAUGCGUAGAUAUGAGGAGGAACACCAGUGGCGAAGGCGGCUUACUGGACUGUAACUGACGUUGAGGCUCGAAAGCGUGGGGAGCAAACAGGAUUAGAUACCCGAGUAGUC